rnacentral:rRNA from 1 species
CAGGAUGGCUGGCGGGCUCCGCGCUUGUCCGGUCGUUUGAUAUUUCCGUCGCCGUGUCGGACGUCGCGACCUGUUCGUCGUCAGUCCAUGCUCGGAGGAAUCGCGAUCGAGUUCGUUGCGCGGUGCGUUUCGGCGUGCCGAGCGGCGAAGACGCGACUCUCUGGCUGACGGCGGACAGUAAGCAACGGUGGCCGGCGUCGUGUCUUGCACUCGACGCCGGUGCCGGUCUGCGACGAUUUCUUCGGGCCUCUUUCCGACCCGUCUUGAAACACGGACCAAGGAGUCUAACAUGCGCGCGAGUCGCGGGGUUUCGAGCGUACCACGGUGCGCUCGUUACUUGCGAAACCCGUACGUUGAAGGCGUAAUGAAAGUGAACAGGGAAGAUGGCGUUCCGAGUCCACGUACCGUGAUCGUGUGUCGCGGCCGGACGUCCGCACUCCCGGGGCGUCUCAAUGGCUCGUCGCGGAUGCGGACGGUUGUCUCUCGGGGCGGCCGUCGGUCUGCGACGGACUGA